GACAGAGGGUGCAAACGUUGUUCGGAAUUACUGGGCGUAAAGCGCGUGUAGGCUGCUUCGCAAGUCGGAUGUGAAAGCCCUGGGCUCAACCCAGGAAGUGCAUUCGAAACUGCAGAGCUGGAGUCCUGGAGAGGAAGGCGGAAUUCUCGGUGUAGAGGUGAAAUUCGUAGAUAUCGAGAGGAACACCGGUGGCGAAGGCGGCCUUCUGGACAGUGACUGACGCUGAGACGCGAAAACGUGGGGAGCAAACAGG
rnacentral:rRNA from 1 species